AUGAACUACAAUUAUUCUGUGGCAGCCACUUAGGCCCAUAAUCACAAUGUAUAUCAUGAAUAUGGAAUUUGACAUGGCUGCAAGUCUCAAAGAAAAAUAAAUCAGUCAAAACCUUAAAUACUAUAAUGUUAAUGAUAGGGAAACAAGUAAUCAACUUCCCAGGCAUAAAAAGGGGAUAAAAUAUAAAUUAACUGAGUUACUCACUAACGUGAUAUUUGGUAAAUAACCCUGUAUGUCUACUAACACUAAUAAGCACAAGGUUACGUAAACAGUAUGCUCUUAUCUCAAUUCCAAAGAUGUGUGCAGCGUAGAAUAAAAAUAACUAUUGUUUCAUUAUUCAGUAAAUUUCUUAACAUUCAUCUGUUUGUCCAGAGAACUGUUGAUGGCUGGCUGACA